AUGUGCGGCCGCGACGACGACUGCUACCUGACGAGGGAUGAAGUCAAGUACCUCUUCAUCUGCUUCGGCGUCGUCGCGGUCGUGGUCCUCCUCGCCGUCCUCCUGGCCGCCUUCGUCUACCUCCGCCACGUCACCAUCACCGUGGAGGACGCCUCGCUCACCAGGUUCGACCUGCUCACCUCCCCGGUGACGGGGAUCGCCUACAACCUCUCGCUCACCCUCAAGGUCCGCAACCCCAACUGGGCGAUGAGCAUGAAGAACGUGGAGCCGUUCGUCGCCGCCUACAGGUUCGACGGCCAGCAGUUCGACCGCGUGCAGGUCGCCGCCACGGGCGACAAGCACCCCGCCGGCGCCACCAGGGUGUACCACCUCACCUCCUCCUCCCAAGGCGCCUUCGUGUCGCUGGGCAGCGCCGGCGAGCAGGAGUACAAGAAGGAGAGCAAGACGGGGACGUUCGACGUGGAGGUGGCGCUGUCCCGCAAGGUGAGCUACACGGCGCGCUACACCAAGUGCAAGAUCGAGGCCGUCUGCCCGCUCAAGCUGCAGCUCGUCAAGCCCGACGCCACCACCGUCGUCUUCCAGAAGGUGACGUGCAAGCUACACAAGGCCGAGAAGAACUGCUAG
rnacentral:rRNA from 1 species